UGCAGUCGUGCGACGGACCUUCUGGGGUUACCCAGAGGGUUACGGAGCGGCGGACGGCCGAGUAACGCGUAAGCAACCUGCCCCUCGGAGGGGGAUAACCCUCUGAAAAGGGGGCUAAUACCCCAUACGCUUAGGGAGGCGCAUGUCUCCUUAAGGAAAGGAAGGAAACUUCCGCCGAGGGAGGGGCUUGCGUCCUAUCAGCUAGUUGGUGAGGUAACGGCUCACCAAGGCGAUGACGGGUAGCUGGCCUGAGAGGGUGGUCAGCCGGACUGGGACUGAGACACGGCCCAGACUCCUACGGGAGGCAGCAGGGCGGAAUCUUGCGCAAUGCCCGAAAGGGUGACGCAGCGACGCCGCGUGAGGGAUGAAGCCCUUCGGGGUGUAAACCUCUUUUGCAGGGGAAGAAGUUCUGACGGUACCCUGCGAAUAAGUCCCGGCCAAUUACGUGCCAGCAGCCGCGGUAAAACGUGAGGGGCGAACGUUGUCCGGAAUCACUGGGCGUAAAGGGUACGCAGGCGGUGGAGAAAGUCGGGUGUGAAAGCCUCAGGCUUAACCUGAGGGGGACGCUCGAUACUUCUCCACUUUGAGGAAG
rnacentral:rRNA from 1 species